rnacentral:misc_RNA from 1 species
GAAAUGCGAUAAGUAAUGUGAAUUGCAGAAUUCAGUGAAUCAUCGAAUCUUUGAACGCACCUUGCGCUCCUUGGUAUUCCGAGGAGCAUGCCUGUUUGAGUGUCAUUUAAUUCUCAACCCCACCAGCUUUGUGCAGCUGGCUUGGUGGCUUGGAUAAUGGGGGUUUCUUGCGGGCCUCUCUCCUUUGAGGUCAGCUCCCCUGAAAUGCAUUAGCGGAACGGUUUGCAGUCCUGUCACUAGCGUGAUAAACUAUCUACGCUAACACAUGAUAGGUUGCUCUCUGAUAGUUCAGCUUCUAACUGUCCCAUUUCAUGGACAACCAUGUGUGCAUACACAACUUUGACACUUGACCUCAAAUCAGGUAGGACUACCCGCUGAACUUAA